rnacentral:rRNA from 1 species
AGGAAUAUUGGUCAAUGGGCGAUGGCCUGAACCAGCCAAGUAGCGUGAAGGAUGACUGCCCUAUGGGUUGUAAACUUCUUUUAUAAAGGAAUAAAGUCGGGUAUGCAUACCCGUUUGCAUGUACUUUAUGAAUAAGGAUCGGCUAACUCCGUGCCAGCAGCCGCGGUAAUACGGAGGAUCCGAGCGUUAUCCGGAUUUAUUGGGUUUAAAGGGAGCGUAGAUGGAUGUUUAAGUCAGUUGUGAAAGUUCGCGGCUCAACCGUAAAAUUGCAGUUGAUACUGGAUGUCUUGAGUGCAGUUGAGGCAGGCGGAAUUCGUGGUGUAGCGGUGAAAUGCUUAGAUAUCACGAAGAACUCCGAUUGCGAAGGCAGCCUGCUAAGCUGCAACUGACAUUGAGGCUCGAAAGUGUGGGUAUCAAACAGGAUUAGAUACCCUGGUAGUCCACACGGUAAACGAUGAAUACUCGCUGUUUGCGAUAUACGGCAAGCGGCCAAGCGAAAGCGUUAAGUAUUCCACCUGGGGAGUACGCCGGCAACGGUGAAACUCAAAGGAAUUGACGGGGGCCCGCACAAGCGGAGGAACAUGUGGUUUAAUUCGAUGAUACGCGAGGAACCUUACCCGGGCUUAAAUUGCACUCGAAUGAUCCGGAAACGGUUCAGCUAGCAAUAGCGAGUGUGAAGGUGCUGCAUGGUUGUCGUCAGCUCGUGCCGUGAGGUGUCGGCUUAAGUGCCAUAACGAGCGCAACCCUUGUUGUCAGUUACUAACAGGUGAUGCUGAGGACUCUGACAAGACUGCCAUCGUAAGAUGUGAGGAAGGUGGGGAUGACGUCAAAUCAGCACGGCCCUUACGUCCGGGGCUACACACGUGUUACAAUGGGGGGUACAGAGGGCCGCUACCACGCGAGUGGAUGCCAAUCCCUAAAACCCCUCUCAGUUCGGACUGGAGUCUGCAACCCGACUCCACGAAGCUGGAUUCGCUAGUAAUCGCGCAUCAGCCACGGCGCGGUGAAUACGUUCCCG